rnacentral:lncRNA from 10 species
AUAAGUAACUUGUUCAAAGCCCCAGUUGGGAUUGAUGGAGCUGGGACAUGCACCAAGGCUGUUGCUCUCAGGCCCACAGAGUCCUUGGUCCACGAAUGUUGAAGCCCUACCUGAGAUUUCAACUGAGAUCAGUGCAGGGAUUCAAUGUCUCAGAAUCAUCCCAUCCUCCAGGGCCCACAAGUCCAUGACCGCUGCCUCUACCACCGACCCUACUGACCUGAAAUGUGGCCCCUGCUUUCAUUUCCGGGAGCAUACAACACUUACACCAAGCAUUGAUGGGUUUUGUUGACUUCAUUUGAGAUGUGGGGUCGUGGAGAGGGUCCCAUGAUCCUUGUUUGGUGUUGGCCAACUCAUUGACUUCUCUCCUUUGACUUCACCCUUCCCUUUUCUACUCACCUCCUCUGUCAUGGAUUGUUCUGGUAAUUCUGAGCCCUGGUUCCUUUAUUUUGCUGAUAACCUUCUCUCGUGUCUGCAACGAAUCCCAAAAGUGUGUAGUUGAGCUGACUGCAAGGUGCUUGACACGCAAGAGACUCCACAAAUGGGAUUCGGCCUCUGGAAAGUGGUGGUAGUUCCAGAUUUAUGUGGAUGUUACUUUAUUUUUCCGUAUAAAAUCUAUUCUUUAAACUCUCAAGCUCUUGGGUCCUGGCUGCAGUCCUUUGCUGGUGGUAGUGGGCUGGGUACUGCCACAGGGGAGAAAUGCUGCCCACUUAGAGAAAGGGAAACUGGUUCUCUUUUAGAGGCAGAGGGAGGUUCCCAGUGUCAGUUUGUUUGGAGGCAAAAUGGCUGUUGUAUUAAAAUUGCCCAAACUUGGGUUGGUGCCUUGUGUGUUUAGAGCUCAAA